rnacentral:lncRNA from 1 species
GUUCGUCGGAAACCUCACAGUAGUAGCUUUGUAGGCGGUGGUAGUAGCUUUUGUAGCUUGUGGUAGUAGUUUUUGUGGCUGGUGGUAGUAGCUUUUGUGUUCAUCGGAAACCUCACAGUAGUAUCUUUUGUAGGCGGUGGUAGUAGCUUUUGUAGCUGGUGGUAGUAGCUUUUAUAGCUGGUAGUAGUAAUUUUUGUCAACGUCGGAGGUCGGCCGGAAACCUCGCCGGAGGUCCUCUGGAAAUCUCGCCGGAGGUCCGCCGGAGACUGUUCCGAAAUGAGAGUGGUUGUUGACUUUUUAUACUAAUGGCAUUCUUGUAAAUAUAAGGGAGAAAAUCUAAUUUUUUUUGUUAGAUGGCAGUCUGUAAUUAUGUUGAACUUCAAUACUUAAAACAAAACCUUAUUUAGACUUGGGUCGACUUAUGUGGGUAAAAAUGUUAGGGUGGAUCUAUGUGUGAAAAAAUGUUUCAAAGUAGACUUAUAUGUAAUUGGCCCUAAAGAAAUGCAUUUAAUUGAGUUCAUGUAAGGUAAUAACUAAAUCAACUCGAUUUAAAAAGUUAACUAAAUAAUCUUGAUGAAAACUGACACGACCCACCCCGAAUUUCACCCUGAAACCCAGAGUAAGUCGUGCGGGGACCACCUCCAAGGAAAAUUUACUGAAAAGAUUAAGAAAAUCUCCCUUGCAGAUGGACAACCCUAACUCGAAAAUUUCAUAUUACACUCUUAAUUCAACACUUCCGAACCUCACAUAAUAUACAAUAAUCUCAAAGUAUUCAGAGCUACUAAACACAAGCGGAAGCAAGAAAACACGAGUAGGUUGAACAGGUAACCUACUGGCGAAAACUGGCAGAAAUGCGGGUGACUAUGCCUCGUCUCCUACUAGAUCCAACCCGAACUCUGCAGACUGGGCAAUUUAAAACGAAGGGCCCAGGGGAAAACAUUUAAUAACGUCAGAGUGAGUGGACAAAAAUAAAAUAAUAAAUAAAAUAUUUAUGUUUCCCCAAAUUAAUUUCUAAGGAAAAAUCGAAUGCAUGCCGCAAGCGAUAAACUUUUAUCUCAUAAAAUAUCGAGCCUCUCAGACUCUAUAAUAUAUGUA